UGAGUACGAGCUGCUACGGCAGCGAAGUGGGUGACGUCAAGCUUCCAAGAAAAGCCCUAUACCCGUUAAGGCAUGACGGCCUGUACCCGAAACCGACACAGGUGGGGUGGUAGAGAAUACCGAGGGGCGCGAGGUAACUCUCUCUAAGGAACUCGGCAAAAUGGCCCCGUAACUUCGGGAGAAGGGGUGCCACCGCAAGGUGGUCGCAGUGAAGAGGCCCAGGCGACUGUUUACCAAAAACACAGGUCUCCGCUAAGUCGCAAGACGAUGUAUGGGGGCUGACGCCUGCCCAGUGCCGGAAGGUUAAGGAAGCUGGUCAGCGUAAGCGAAGCUGGCGACUGAAGCCCCGGUGAACGGCGGCCGUAACUAUAACGGUCCUAAGGUAGCGAAAUUCCUUGUCGGGUAAGUUCCGACCCGCACGAAAGGCGUAACGAUCUGGGCGCUGUCUCGGAGAGAGGCUCGGCGAAAUAGAAUUGUCUGUGAAGAUGCGGACUACGUGCACCCGGACAGAAAGACCCUAUGAAGCUUUACUGUAGCUUGGUAUUGUGCCCGGGCUCUGAAUGCGCAGGAUAGGUGGGAGGCUUUGAUCCAUUGCUUGUGGGUGAUGGUGAGCCAACGGUGAGAUACCACUCUUUCAGAGCUAGGGUUCUAACGGUCACCCGUCAUCCGGGGACCGGACAGCAUCAGGUGGGCAGUUUGACUGGGGCGGUCGCCUCCUAAAAGGUAACGGAGGCGCGCAAAGGUUUGCUCAGGCUGGUUGGAAAUCAGCCGACGAGUGUAAAAGCAGAAGCAAGCUUGACUGUGAGACCUACAAGUCGAACAGGGACGAAAGUCGGCUUUAGUGAUCCGACGGUUCUGAGUGGAAGGGCCGUCGUUCAACGGAUAAAAGUUACUCUAAGGAUAACAGGCUGAUCUCCCCCAAGAGUUCACAUCGACGGGGAGGUUUGGCACCUCGAUGUCGGCUCAUCGCAACCUGGGGCUGAAGUCGGUCCCAAGGGUUGGGCUGUUCGCCCAUUAAAGCGGUACGCGAGCUGGGUUCAGAACGUCGUGAGACAGUUCGGUCCAUAUCCGGUGCAUGCGCAGGAAUAUUGAGAGGAUUUCUCCCUAGUACGAGAGGACCGGGAGGAACGCACCUCUGGUGUGCCAGUUAUCGUGCCAACGGUAAACGCUGGGUAGCCAUGUGCGGAUAGGAUAACCGUUGAAAGCAUCUAAGUGGGAAGCCCACCUCAAGAUGAGUAUUCCCAUGGCGUUAGCCAGUAAGGUCACGGGAAGAACACCCGUUGAUAGGCUCUACGUGGAAGCCGGGUAACCGGUGAAGCGGAGGAGUACUAAUAGACCGAGGGCUUGACC
rnacentral:rRNA from 1 species